ACAGGGCACAGCAGGGCAUGCCUAUAGUCCCAGCUAUUCAGGAGGCAGAGGUGGGAAAAUUGCUUGAGCCCAGAUUUUAUAGGCUGUUACAGUAUGCUGUGCCAAGCAGGUGUCCCUACUAAGUUCUUCAUCAACAUGGUAACCUCCUAAGAGUGUGGGACCACCAGAUUGCCUAAGGAGGGGUGAGCGGGUCCCGGCUGGAAAUGGAGCAGACACCCUGUGCCUGCAGGAUGGUGUUUGUGAAUAGACACAGCACUCUGAUCUGGGCAACAAAGCGUGACCCUGAUUUU
rnacentral:SRP_RNA from 1 species